AUUGUUAGAGUGAACGACCAUGAAAUCACGCAUCUUUGUUUUCACAAUCAUAGGGUUUCUAAUACCCUAUUGUGCUGCACUUGAAAGGGACAAAAAAGCCGUACAAUCAUGUUAUGAAUGUUCCAACAUUGCCGACCCAUCACAGUGUACAAGAGUGGUAACGUGUAGAGCUAAUGAGGUCUGUUAUACGGAGGCUCAUUCGACGUCAUCAAUAUUCCAGUCCACAGUGUACUCGUUGGGAUGUCGAGCAUCAAUAUCUUUAUUACACAGACUGGAACCAACACACUGUGAUGAGAGUUAACAAGGAUGGCUCUGGAAAGACAAACAUUGGUCCUACAGGGUUUAGACAACUGGCUGACAUCAGAGUCCACAAGUAUGGAUACGGAAUGCCAGGAGUGGUGACUCCAUCUCCAAUCGUCGUUGAUGAAAGUCACAUAUUUGUCCGUCUCGUGGGAAGAGGAGACCACAACGAGGGUUUGGUGGAGGUGUACAUUAAUGGCGAGUGGGGUACGAUCUGUGACGAUAUGUGGGACGAUAGGGAGGCAAAGGUCGUGUGUGAAAUGCUGGGAUUCGGAAAGACUAAUGCAAAGGCAGUUUCCCGGGCCUAUUAUGGAACAGAUAACUCCAUUAUCAUUUUCCUGGAUGACGUCAACUGUACCGGAGAGGAGUCCCACAUAGCUCAGUGUACUAAGAUCGGGGACUGGGGUCUCCAUAACUGUGACCACAGAGAGGACGCAGGCGUCAACUGUACGUUCGAUGUAACAACUAUUCGCGAUUUUGUGUUGGUGGCCGAUUCCUACAUCCAAGAGAUCUACAGAAUGGACCUGGAGACCGGCAGCUACUCCGCCAUCCCCCAGUACAGCGUCAACACCCCUAUAGGCAUAGACUACGACCCCCUGACGCACACUGUGUUCUACUCCGACGUCGGAUUACACUUGAUCAAGAGCACGGACUUAGAUGGAAAUAACGAAAAAAUAUUAAAACGACUUAACAGCGUUGCCAUUCCUGAUGGUUUGGUUAUUGAUGUUCAAAACCGCUUAAUUUUCUAUUCCGACACCGGAAAUGACGUCAUUGUGAAAAUGAAUAUGGAUGGUACCGGUGUUGUUAACGUGACUAACACUAACCUUGAUGAGCCAAGAGCAGUGACCUUAGACGUCGCCAAUCAAGUUAUAUACUGGACAGACUGGGGAGCACAUCCUAAGAUUGAAAAAUCGAACUACGAUGGCUCAAACCGUCAGACCCUCAUCGACAGUGGACUUAAGUUUCCUAACGGACUUGUAUAUGACGGAACAACAAACAAGCUUUACCUGUGCGAUGCUGGGACCAAUAAGAUUGAAGUAAUGGAUACGAAUGGUCAGAACCGACAGCUGAUCUUCCAGGAUGCUGGCGCUCAUUUCUUUGGAAUUGACGUGGACUCCCAGUAUAUUUACGUGUCAGACUGGACUAAAGAUGGAGUCAUUAGGUUGAACAAAGACGGGUCUGGAGAGACACCCGUCGGACCCCCAUCAUUCGGGAAACUUAAUGGAAUAUCUCUCUACCACCAAGGGGGAUGAUUCAAGUGUUCAUACAUCAAAAUGACUUUCAAUCCCGGUCAUUUCACAUAGACAAUAAGUUUAACCAUGCUGUGUUUGAAUAAAAGUUUGAAAUAUAUUCU
rnacentral:misc_RNA from 1 species